rnacentral:rRNA from 1 species
UUGGAGGGCAAGUCUGGUGCCAGCAGCCGCGGUAAUUCCAGCUCCAAUAGCGUAUAUUAAAGUUGUUGCAGCUAAAAAGCUCGUAGUUGAAUUUCGGGGUUCAUCCGUUGGUCGGGCUUUUUGGUCUGUACUGGCGUGAUGGAUUCCUACCUUCUGAAUAACCAGCAUGUCAUUAAUUUGGUGCGCUGGGGAAGCAGGACUGUUACCUUGAAAAAAUUAGAGUGCUUAAAGCAGGCUAUCGCCUGAAUACAUUAGCAUGGAAUAAUGAAAUAGGACGGCAUGGUUCUAUUUUGUUGGUUUCUAGGAUCACCGUAAUGAUUAAUAGGGAUAGUUGGGGGCAUUAGUAUUCAAUUGUCAGAGGUGAAAUUCUUGGAUUUAUUGGAGACUAACUUCUGCGAAAGCAUUUGCCAAGGAUGUUUUCAUUAAUCAAGAACGAAAGUUAGGGGAUCGAAGACGAUCAGAUAACCCGGUCGUUAGGUUCCUUUAAAACCCAAUUAAAAAACCCUUAAAUUUACGGUACCCCCGGGAAAACCCCUUUUUAAAACGGGGGGGGGGGAAAAGUUUUUAACCCCCGGGGGGGGGUAAAAACCCCGGGGGUAAAACGUUUUUAACGGGGGGGUUUUUUUUUAAAAAAAAACGUUUUUUUUUUUUUUUUUUUUUUUUUAAAAAAAAACGUUUUUAAAGGGGGGUUUUAAAAAAACCCCCUUUUUACCCCCGGGGGGUUUUUUUUUAACCCCC